rnacentral:rRNA from 1 species
GACGAACGCUGGCGGCGUGCUUAACACAUGCAAGUCGAACGGCAAGGCCCUGCUUUUGUGGGGUGCUCGAGUGGCGAACGGGUGAGUAACACGUGAGUAACCUGCCCUUGACUUUGGGAUAACUUCAGGAAACUGGGGCUAAUACCGUAUAGCAGCUCCUCCUGCAUUGUGGGGGUUGGAAAUUUUCGGCGGUUGGGGAUGGACUGGCGGCUUAUCAGCUUGUUGGUUGGGUAGUGGCUUACCAAGGCUUUGACGGGUAGCCGGCCUGAGAGGGUGACCGGCCACAUUGGGACUGAGAUACGGACCAGACUCCUACGGGAGGCAGCAGUGGGGAAUAUGGCACAGUGGGCGGAAGCCUGAUGAAGCAACGCCGCGUGCGGGAUGACGGCCUUCGGGUUGUAAACCGCUGUAGCCUGUGACGAAGCGUGAGUGACGGUAAUGGGUAAAGAAGCACCGGCUAACUACGUG